rnacentral:tRNA from 1 species
GGUAAAAUGGCUGAGGUUAGGCAAUAAAUUGUAAAUUUAUGAACGAAUAGAUUAUUCUUUUACC